UACGUAGGGGGCAAGCGUUGUCCGGAAUCAUUGGGCGUAAAGCGCGUGUAGGCGGCUUCGUAAGUCCGUUGUGAAAGUCCAGGGCUCAACCCUGGAAUGCCGAUGGAUACUGCGGAGCUAGGGUCCGGAAGAGGCGAGUGGAAUUCCUGGUGUAGCGGUGAAAUGCGCAGAUAUCAGGAGGAACACCAAUGGCGAAGGCAGCUCGCUGGGACGGUACUGACGCUGAGGAGCGAAAGCCAGGGGAGCAAACGGG
rnacentral:rRNA from 1 species